rfam:Diaporthe helianthi strain 7/96 Scaffold_1223.1, whole genome shotgun sequence.
CUCCAUGAUGCAUACAACACAUUCAGGGAUUCCUCGAACCGAAGACCAAUGUGGACAUAAUGUUUUAUAAGUUUCAGCCUUGUCUGAUC